rnacentral:rRNA from 1 species
ACACGGCCCAAACUCCUACGGGAGGCAGCAGUGGGGAAUCUUGCACAAUGGAGGAAACUCUGAUGCAGCGAUGCCGCGUGAGUGAAGAAGGCCCUUGGGUUGUAAAGCUCUUUCGUCGGGGAAGAAAAUGACUGUACCCGAAUAAGAAGGUCCGGCUAACUUCGUGCCAGCAGCCGCGGUAAUACGAAGGGACCUAGCGUAGUUCGGAAUUACUGGGCUUAAAGAGUUCGUAGGUGGUUGAAAAAGUUAGUGGUGAAAUCCCAGAGCUUAACUCUGGAACUGCCAUUAAAACUUUUCAGCUAGAGUAUGAUAGAGGAAAGCAGAAUUUCUAGUGUAGAGGUGAAAUUCGUAGAUAUUAGAAAGAAUACCAAUUGCGAAGGCAGCUUUCUGGAUCAUUACUGACACUGAGGAACGAAAGCAUGGGUAGCGAAGAGGAUUAGAUACCCUCGUAGUCCAUGCCGUAAACGAUGUGUGUUAGACGUUGGAAAUUUAUUUUCAGUGUCGCAGGGAAACCGAUAAACACACCGCCUGGGGAGUACGACCGCAAGGUUAAAACUCAAAUGAAUUGACGGGGACCCGCACAAGUAGUGGAGCAUGUGGUUUAAUUCGAAGAUACGCGCAGAACCUUACCAACACUUGACAUGUUCGUCGCGACUCUAAGAGAUUAGAGUUUUCGGUUCGGCCGGACGAAACACAGGUGCUGCAUGGCUGUCGUCAGCUCGUGUCGUGAGAUGUUGGGUUAAGUCCCGCAACGAGCGCAACCCUCACUUUUAGUUGCCAUCAUUAAGUUGGGCACUCUGAAAGAACUGCCAGUGAUAAGCUGGAGGAAGGUGGGGAUGACGUCAAGUCCUCAUGGCCCUUACGUGUUGGGCUACACACGUGCUACAAUGGUAUCUACAACACGAAGCAAGACUGCGAAGUUAAGCAAUCCCUAAAGAUACCUCAGUUCGGAUUGCACUCUGCAACUCGAGUGCAUGAAGCUGGAUUACUAGUAAUCGUGGAUCAGCGUGCCACGGUGAAUGCGUUCCCGGGUCUUGUACACACCGCCCGUCACACCAUGGGAGUUGGUUCUACCUUAAGGCAAGGUUUCAAACCCUUGACCACGGUAUAGUCAGCGACUGGGGUGAAGUCGUAACAAGGUAGCCGUAGGGGAACCUGCGGCUG